rnacentral:lncRNA from 1 species
UGGCGAAUGAAUGGUGUAUGGUGAUGAUGGUGAUAAUGGUGAAAACAAUGGUGAAAGUCUAAUUCUACUUUUGCUCUUUUGAGGGGAUACAUACCUUUCUUGCACUUUGAAGCUUUUUGAGGGCAAUGAGAUGCUCUAUAUUUUCUUUUUCUUUUCCCUCAGGUGGGUAUCUUGUACCCCUAAUUCUACUGUCGGACACUUGUCCAUUUUUACCUCUCGUCUCACUUCUCUUUCUUUUUUUUCGAGGUUCCGGGCACUUGCCCCUUUUUAUUUUCUCGUUUUCACUUCUCUCUUUUUUUCCAGAACACUCACCCUCCUGGAAUAAUGUAGCAAGUGGUAGUAACCAAAAUAUCUCGAGCAUUUAUUUCACAGGGAAUAAUAGGAAUAGGAUAAUGUUUUUGGCUAUUCUCUCCUGGAUAGGAGUAGAAUAAUUUUGGGUAAAUCUGGA